rnacentral:rRNA from 1 species
UACGGAGGGUGCAAGCGUUAAUCGGAAUUACUGGGCGUAAAGCGCGCGUAGGCGGCUCGGUCAGUCGGGUGUGAAAUCCCUGGGCUCAACCUGGGAACUGCAUUCGAUACUGCCGAGCUAGAGUGUGGGAGAGGGUAGCGGAAUUCCCGGUGUAGCGGUGAAAUGCGUAGAUAUCGGGAGGAACAUCAGUGGCGAAGGCGACUGCCUGGCCCAACACUGACGCUGAGGUGCGAAAGCGUGGGUAGCAAACAGG